ensembl:lncRNA
GCAGAACACAUUAACACAGUGAUGGGAAGCGCUCUUUAAACACACAUUCCCAUGGGCCUGAGAGUGCACCUUGACUACAACUACACAAGUGUGCAAAUUAAUCAAAUGUUCCUGUAACACAAGGGCGUAGAUUUGCAUAUGGACGGUCCCUACCAAUAUUUUGGGAGGGCAGAAUUGUCCCUAUCAAUAUUUUGGGAGGGCAGAAUUGUCCCUACCAAUAUUUGCACAAACUCAUUCUCAAUAUCUUUGGAGUAAAGUCAUGUAAAUUCCAUAGCAUACUCUCCCAGAAGCUCCAGGAUUUAGGCAUGCUAGCAUUUGAUUGGCUGAAAGGGAGGGGCAUCUGAAGACUCACCUGCAAAUAUCGAGCUGCCAGUGUAGAGUACAGACAUGGAGGCGAGGGCUGAUCAAGUUUGUCAGUCCAUACCUCAAGCAUGGGUGAAAAAUGUAGUCUUUCAGAUGACUUUACUCCCUUUCCUCUAUUGCUUGCAUGGCACAGCAUACAUAAAGUAUUUUUUCCCAUGCCAACACAUUUUGUACUUUGUAGAUAUGCCACCAAAAAAAAUGACGAGACAUGAGGAGCUUUUUCCCCACCCAAAGAGUAAGUAAUAGGUAGUAAACUAACUGUCCAGUAGCCACAUUGAUUUAAAAUGAAAACCUGUUAGCGACCAAAUGUCACCAGCCUUGCACUGCAAAAAGUAGUCAACUGAUGUUAGUUAACUGUGUUAGCUAGUGUUAACUAGCAAGCCAACCCUGGCUUCUGUCAUCUGCAGGCUAGCAGUCAGGUUGCUAGCUGGAACAUAAAAUAGCUUUAUACAUGAAAUUAUGUUGAGUUGAAUUUUAGAAUGAAUUUGAGUUGAAUGUUGAGUUGAAUUUUAGUCUAGAAAUCCCAUGAAAAUGUCAUCAUUUAAUGAAUUAGUUUGUAUGCAGGAAACGCAGCAGCAGGCUGAAGUAGAGCAGGAUGAAACAGCUGCGUCUUCAGGCUUUCAGGGUCAAGGGAACCUGGAGCCUAUCCCAGGGAGCAUCGGGCACAAGGUGGGGUACACCCUGGACAGGGUACCAGUCCAUCGCAGGGCACAAUCA